rnacentral:rRNA from 1 species
AUGGUGUGGCCGUCGCCGCUCAAGUUCAUCAGCGAGCUGGGGGCAGACGCGAGGGCGCUCCUGGAGGCGGCCCUUGUCGAGGCCAAUAGGGAGCGGGAGAAGAAGAUCGUCAAGGGCACCAAGUACUCGGACUCCUCGCCGACGCUCUCCGACGCCGGCGCCGGCGACGACGACGACGUGGACGACCAGGAGGACAAGGAGGUGUGCAGCAUCUGCUUCGAGCAGGCGUGCAGCAUCGAGGUGGAGGACCGCGGGAACCGGAUGUGCGCCGCCUGCACGCUCGUGCUCUGCUGCCACAGCAAGCCCAACCCAGCCACGCUACAGCCGCCGGCCUGCCCCUUCUGCCGCAGCUGCAUCUCCCGGCUUGUCGUCGUCGACUCCAAGGCUAAGGCCGUCGCGGUUGCGGGCGCCGGCGACGAGGCUGACGAGAAGCCGGCGUCGCCGCGUCUGAGCCGGAGGAGGUCACGGACGAGGUCCCGCGAGGGGAGCAGCAACUUCAAGGGCCUCUCGUCGGCCAUGGGGUCCCUGUCUAGCAAGAUCGAGCGUGGCUCCGGCAGGCUGGUCGGCGACGGCGACGGCGCGUUCCUGGACAAGCUGGAGCACGACCUCCCUUGA